CGCCUCUUAAUUGUAACAUAAAAAUCCAGCCUGCCAGUACAUAGUUUAACAGCCCGCUGGACCCUCAACCGUGCGAAGGUAGCAUCAAUGGACUUGUUCUUUAAAUAGGGACUCGUAUCAACGGCAUCACGAGGGCUAUACUUCUCCUUUCUCCAAUCAAUGAAACUGAUCUCCCCGUGAAGAAGCGGGGAUUAACCUAUAAGACGAGAAGACCCCAUGGAGCUUCAAACUCAACAUAUACCUCUACGCACUUAAACCACUUUAGCCCAAGAGACCUCUAUGUUAGUUUUGGGUUGGGGGGACCGCGGAGUAAAAAUUAACCUCCACGACAAAUGGGCUUUAUGCCCUUAUCCACGAACCACAGCUCUAAGAAUCAAUAAACUGAUGUUUAUGACCCGAUUAUUCGAUCAACGAACCAAGUUACCCUGGGGAUAACAGCGCAAUCUACUUCAAGAGCCCUAUCGACAAGUAGGUUUACGACCUCGAUGUUGGAUCAGGGUAUCCUAGUGGUGCAGCCGCUACUAAUGGUUCGUUUGUUCAACGAUUAAAACCCU
rnacentral:rRNA from 1 species